AAAAAAGCAACCCAAGCUGCUUGAAUGUGUGUGUCUAUUUUCCCUUUCCUGAGCUGUGGAGGGCUCUGCCAUCUAUCGCACUCACAAGGAUAACAGCAGAUCAGGCGUUCCUACUGUAGCUCUUCUCUCUGGCUGUGCGUUGGUGUCUUUCCUGCAUCCUCCGGUUGGAAGUUCUGCAUCCACCCCCCCUGUGCCCUGAACGAGCACGUAAAGGUCUACCGUCUGCACAAUGCAAAAUCUGUAAAGGGAUGCUGGUGUUUUAAAGGAGGGGAUAUCAAACGGUGGGAUCUGUGGUGGCUUAUCACCUGCAAACGCUGUGGAUAUACUGUACUGUGUCAGGAGGAAACCCGAGGAUCCACCUAAUCAGGCUUUGCUGCUGCUUUGCAAUUUCUGCCUGAAAAAAUCCCACUCGGAGAGAGAAGAGGACUUGGGUUUGUCCUUUCCGUGCAGGAUGCCUGGCUUUUUUUAUUCUCGAGCACCGGGCAAAGGUCUAGCUGCCAUUCCUUUUUGCUAAAAGAGGAUACAUGCAUCUUCUAGCAGAUAAAAUUACAGAACUGUGUUAUUUGCGGCUGUAUUGAUUCACAUCAACAGAAAAGGUCACUUCAUUCAAUUUGAUAUAUCAAAAGCCGAUGUACGGUGUUUGCAAUGAGGAUUUGAGUUUGUGUAAGAGGAAACUUCGCAGUGUACAGGCGAGACCUUUGUAGCUGAAGCUUACCGCCGACAUCGGAUGGCGCUCGGACCUGCAGGGGAUGUUUUCAACCAAGUAACAACGUGAACAAUUAGAACACGGACCAUGGUCUCUGCAAUUCUGGAAAACGCCCCUCAUUAAAGC